rnacentral:rRNA from 1 species
GACAGAGGGUGCGAACGUUGUUCGGAAUUACUGGGCGUAAAGCGCAUGUAGGCGGCAGCGCAAGUCGGGCGUGAAAUCCCACGGCUCAACCGUGGAAGUGCACUCGAAACUGCGCAGCUAGAGUCCUGGAGAGGAAGGUGGAAUGCUUGGUGUAGAGGUGAAAUUCGUAGAUAUCAAGCGGAACACCGGUGGCGAAGGCGGCCUUCUGGACAGUGACUGACGCUGAGAUGCGAUAGCGUGGGGAUCAAACAGG